UACGUAGGGUGCGAGCGUUAAUCGGAAUUAACUGGGCGUAAAGCGUGCGCAGGCGGUUUUGUAAGCCAGAUGUGAAAUCCCCGGGCUUAACCUGGGAAUGGCAUUUGGGACUGCAAGGCUUGAGUGCGGCAGAGGAGACUGGAAUUCCUGGUGUAGCGGUGAAAUGCGUAGAUAUCUGGAGGAACACCGGUGGCGAAGGCGGCAUCCUGGACCGGCAUUGACGCUGAGGCGCGAAAGCUAGGGGAGCAAACGGG
rnacentral:rRNA from 1 species